AUUGAACGCUGGCGGCGUGCCUAACACAUGCAAGUCGAGCGGUAACAGGUGUAGCAAUACAUGCUGACGAGCGGCGGACGGGUGAGUAACGCUUGGGAAUCUGCCUGUUAGUGGGGGACAACCCGGGGAAACUCGGGCUAAUACCGCAUACGCACUACGGUGGAAAGCCGGGGACCGCAAGGCCUGGCGCUAACAGAUGAGCCCAAGUCGGAUUAGCUAGUUGGUAGGGUAACGGCCUACCAAGGCGACGAUCCGUAACUGGUCUGAGAGGACGACCAGUCACACCGGAACUGAGACACGGUCCGGACUCCUACGGGAGGCAGCAGUGGGGAAUAUUGCGCAAUGGGCGAAAGCCUGACGCAGCGACGCCGCGUGGGUGAUGAAGGCCUGGUCGUAAG
rnacentral:rRNA from 1 species